rnacentral:tRNA from 1 species
GGGGAUUUAGCUGGGUUGGUAGAGUGCCUACCUUGCAUGUACAAGGCCCUGGGUUCAAUUCCCAGCACCACCC